CUGAAAUUCAAAACAAGCUCUUCUACUCAAGUUGGGGUGGUGGCUUCUUUGUGAUAAGGACCCUCAGUGGGCUCAAGUAUUAUCUUCCAAAUGCUUCCCUCACUGAUAUCCCUUUCACCCCACUACUUUAAAGAAAAAAGGUUUUGCUACAUGGAAUAGUAUUGCUAGCAUUCUCCCCACCCUCUUCAAAAUGAUUUGACGUAAGAUAGGCAAUGGAUGUAAUACAGAUAUAUGGAAUGAACCUUGGAUAUCUAAUUACAGUUCUCCUCUCAACUCCUAGCAAUGUCAGUCAGACCACCCCUCUUCAAUUACCAAGGAACCCUCACUACUAAAUUGGCUGCAAAUUUUUAACUUCAAACAUGAGUACUAACCCCACUGGACCUCCAACAAGUGUACCUGCUCCUCUUUGCUCACAUUGGUGGAGAUGCUUAUGGAAACUCCCCAUACACCCAAAAUUUAAAAUCUUCUUGACUAUGUCAUAGAGGGAUCUCCACGAAGGAUAUUUUGGGGAAAUGGAAGCAAUUUGACCAAUCGUGUCACUCAAAGUCCUUAUGGCACACUUUCCUGUCAUGCGAGUUCAUUAAACGAAUUUGGGCUGCUUGUCCCUUGGGUUUAAAGACUGAACAUGUUUCUGCCCCUUCCUUUAUGCACUUUAUUAUGUCGUUUAACUCUAAUUGGAUACCUACUGAGCAUCGUAGCAACUUUUUCUCCACUUUCAUCAUUGUUUGUUAUUUUAUUUGGGGUUAUUGGAAUCACUUGUUUUUAAACAUGACAAACCAAACCCACACAAAAUCCUCCUGCAUCAUGGUGGAUUAACAAUCUAAAUCAUAAGUCUUAUAUUGUGCAGCCAGGCCAAUAGGGAAAUCUAUCGAAGCGGCCACUGGAGGACUCCUACUCGGAGUUCAACAAGCACAGAUGAAUGGUUGGAGGGUAAAGGAAGUGUGGAGUAACUUUGAUGACCAGGAACAUCUGUCCUGUAACCUAACAACUACCUCAUGGCCUUGGAGCAUGGUACCUCUUUCGAUGUCUAUAACAUUCUCCCCAACCUCUCCUUUCGGCUCAUGCCAACGAAUGAUGUGGUUUUUGUUUUGGCCAGACUAGCAUAUAUAGCUAUGGUUAGGAAAUCCUACUUAUCUGUUUGUAA